rnacentral:lncRNA from 10 species
AGAAUGGGCAGAACUCACUCUGGAAGAGCUGGUGGGAAUAAUGCCAUUUGGGAAGCACACAACAUAGGCAGCACAGUGGAGCACAAGAAAGUCCGGAGCUGUUAGCUCCCAGGUCCUGAAGGAAUGAGAACUUUCACCGGAGUCUGGAUUCCACUGUAGACAAAAUCCUCUCUGCAUCGCCAAAUGACUCUUAUUUUCCUAAACUUACUCUAAGAAUAUCUUUUAACAGCAAUUUGAAUAAACCGACUCACAUGCCACUGUGA